rfam:Erysiphe necator strain c c-strain-scaffold_14, whole genome shotgun sequence.
GGCUUCAUAGUCAAGAGGUUAAGACAUAAUGUUUUCACCAUUAUAUGCGAGGGUUCGAGUCCCUCUGGGGCUA